AGAAUCAACGCUGGCGGCGUGCCUAACACAUGCAAGUCGCACGAGAAAGGGACUUCGGUCCUGAGUACAGUGGCGCACGGGUGAGUAACACGUGAAUAAUCUACCUCCGAGUGGGGAAUAACUGAGAGAAAUCUUAGCUAAUACCGCAUAACACUUACGAGUCAAGGCAGCAAUGCGCUUGGAGAGGAGUUCGCGGCAGAUUAGUUAGUUGGCGGGGUAAUGGCCCACCAAGACGAUGAUCUGUA
rnacentral:rRNA from 1 species